rnacentral:rRNA from 1 species
AGACCUCUGAUCAGAAAAGACUACCCGCUGAAUUUAAGCAUAUCACUAAGCGGAGGAGAAGAAACUAACCAGGAUUUCCCUAGUAACGGCGAGCGAACCGGAAAGAGCCCAGCUUG